UACGUAGGGUGCAAGCGUUAUCCGGAAUCACUGGGCGUAAAGGGUGCGUAGGCGGGUCUUUAAGUCAGGGGUGAAAUCCUGGAGCUCAACUCCAGAACUGCCUUUGAUACUGAAGAUCUUGAGUUCGGGAGAGGUGAGUGGAACUGCGAGUGUAGAGGUGAAAUUCGUAGAUAUUCGCAAGAACACCAGUGGCGAAGGCGGCUCACUGGCCCGGUACUGACGCUGAGGUGCGAAAGCGUGGGGAGCAAACAGG
rnacentral:rRNA from 1 species